rnacentral:rRNA from 14 species
GACGAACGCUGGCGGCGUGCCUAAUACAUGCAAGUCGAGCGGACAGAUGGGAGCUUGCUCCCUGAUGUUAGCGGCGGACGGGUGAGUAACACGUGGGUAACCUGCCUGUAAGACUGGGAUAACUCCGGGAAACCGGGGCUAAUACCGGAUGGUUGUYUGAACCGCAUGGUUCAGACAUAAAAGGUGGCUUCGGCUACCACUUACAGAUGGACCCGCGGCGCAUUAGCUAGUUGGUGAGGUAACGGCUCACCAAGGCGACGAUGCGUAGCCGACCUGAGAGGGUGAUCGGCCACACUGGGACUGAGACACGGCCCAGACUCCUACGGGAGGCAGCAGUAGGGAAUCUUCCGCAAUGGACGAAAGUCUGACGGAGCAACGCCGCGUGAGUGAUGAAGGUUUUCGGAUCGUAAAGCUCUGUUGUUAGGGAAGAACAAGUGCCGUUCAAAUAGGGCGGCACCUUGACGGUACCUAACCAGAAAGCCACGGCUAACUACGUGCCAGCAGCCGCGGUAAUACGUAGGUGGCAAGCGUUGUCCGGAAUUAUUGGGCGUAAAGGGCUCGCAGGCGGUUUCUUAAGUCUGAUGUGAAAGCCCCCGGCUCAACCGGGGAGGGUCAUUGGAAACUGGGGAACUUGAGUGCAGAAGAGGAGAGUGGAAUUCCACGUGUAGCGGUGAAAUGCGUAGAGAUGUGGAGGAACACCAGUGGCGAAGGCGACUCUCUGGUCUGUAACUGACGCUGAGGAGCGAAAGCGUGGGGAGCGAACAGGAUUAGAUACCCUGGUAGUCCACGCCGUAAACGAUGAGUGCUAAGUGUUAGGGGGUUUCCGCCCCUUAGUGCUGCAGCUACGCAUUAAGCACUCCGCCCUGGCGGAGUNGGG